GGGGGCGACAGGCUUCGACGGGUCUGGUGAGGGCUCCGCUGCGUGCCCAGGUCCCGGUUCCUGGUAAAACAACUGGGAAAAAACACAACUGCCAACAACAACUUGGCACUGGCUGCUUAAGCUUCGGCUUAAAGCGCCUGCCUGCGUUGCAGCCCGGCCCGAGGCGGCGCGCAGGUAUCGCAAAUUCGGGCUGGCAUCGCACGUAGCUUCCGCGUGCGGUGCGAGAUCUUAAAGGAAGAUGGUCCGCCGGUCGGGUGGCUGCGCUCCGGCCGGUGGAGAGAUGAAGCGCAGCCUACGCACGUAGAUGCGGUGCCGGAUCUAGGCUCGGACCGGGGUUCGAUUCCCCGCGCCUCCA
rnacentral:tmRNA from 1 species